rnacentral:rRNA from 1 species
UAGGGAAUUUUCGUUCAAUGGGGGGCAACCCUGAACGAGCAAUGCCGCGUGAGCGAAGAAGGUCUUCGGAUUGUAAAGCUCUGUUGCCGGGGAAAAAGGAAGGAAAGAGGAAAUGCUUUUCUUUGGAUGGUACCCGGCCAGAAAGUCACGGCUAACUACGUGCC